UGAACAUGAGGGACCGGAUGCU
rnacentral:siRNA from 1 species